UACGUAGGGUGCAAGCGUUAAUCGGAAUUACUGGGCGUAAAGCGUGCGCAGGCGGUUAUGUAAGACAGUUGUGAAAUCCCCGGGCUCAACCUGGGAACUGCAUCUGUGACUGCAUAGCUAGAGUACGGUAGAGGGGGAUGGAAUUCCGCGUGUAGCAGUGAAAUGCGUAGAUAUGCGGAGGAACACCGAUGGCGAAGGCAAUCCCCCUGGACCUGUACUGACGCUCAUGCACGAAAGCGUGGGGAGCAAACAGG
rnacentral:rRNA from 1 species